rnacentral:rRNA from 1 species
UACAGAGACUGCAAGCGUUAUUCGGAUUCACUGGGCGUAAAGGGUGCGCAGGCGGCCGAGUGUGUGAGGCGUGAAAGCCCGGGGCUUAACCCCGGAAUUGCACCUCAAACUACACGGCUAGAGCAUUGGAGAAGGGUAGCAGAAAUUCAUGGUGUAGCAGUGAAAUGCGUAGAUAUCAUGAGGAAUACCGGAGGCGAAGGCGGCUACCUGGACAAUUGCUGACGCUCAGGCACGAAAGCGUGGGGAGCAAAAGGG